rnacentral:rRNA from 1 species
UACGGGGGGAGCAAGCGUUGUUCGGAUUUACUGGGCGUAAAGGGCGCGUAGGCGGUAGCACAAGUCAGUUGUGAAAUCUCCGGGCUUAACUCGGAAAGGUCAACUGAUACUGUGCGACUAGAGUGCAGAAGGGGCAACUGGAAUUCUCGGUGUAGCGGUGAAAUGCGUAGAUAUCGAGAGGAACACCUGCGGCGAAGGCGGGUUGCUGGGCUGACACUGACGCUGAGGCACGAAGGCCAGGGGAGCAAACGGG